rnacentral:lncRNA from 1 species
AUGAGACGCAACUUUCGUCAGUCCGUCAUUAAGCCAGCGACUCCAGCUCAGAAAGGUCCCCCGUUGGCUGGACAUCCAGGGAGUUUCCAGGGAUCCUCUUAUGACGCGCACACGGUGAGGCUCCGUGCCAACCAGAGGCGGUGCUGGCCAGGCUCUAGCUCUCCAGCAGAGAAGCAAGGGGGUGGCAGCUGGCCCCCAAGCUCCUCCUCAGGAGUCCCUGGAGGGAGGAGGGCUCCUCCGCACCCUCUCCAGCCCUCGCAGGCGCGCAGGAGGGCCAGGCGGGUCUCCAUCAGCGCGGGGAUGUCUCCAGGACCACACGACUCGUUUGCCCGUGAACAUCUGCCCCCUGCGACCCCACCUGGCCCCUCGCGGCCCACACACUCAUGCUCGGAACCACAUCACUGUCCCAGAGUCCGCCCAGUCUUCAGGGGCCCACACCGCGGGCCUCUCCUCCCCGGCCCAGGGUCAUCACGUCCCCUCCGGCAUCCACUCACCCCACUGCGGUCUGUCAGGAUUCGGAGUCAGUCGCCCCAGACCCUGGGCCGGUGUCACAAAGCUUGGGGUUCCGGUCCCCCAACACAGGCACGCGCAGGCGGAGGGGACCACGUGGCAGCCACGGAGCAGCUCCCGCCCCGACACGCAGGGCAGUCUGAGAUAGUUGCACAUAUGCACUGCCUUAUUUCUUAAGGCUUUGCUGAAAGGACUGAUGUCUCUUUGUGCACCUGCACUGAAGCUGGUGGAAAAUUGACACAACAGCGGCUGCCAUCUGGAAUUAUGAUGGGAAUUGGCCAUUUUCCCAGAGGAAGAAUUGAGGCACAAAAUGGGUCAGCGAACAUCUGGAGAAGCCAACUACCAACUAAUGGGCAUUUGCUUGGUGGCAGGUCCUGCUGGCUGCUUUUGUUUAGCCCCUGCUCUGAAGCAUUUGGGGUGAGCAUUGCUGGGACCCCAUUUUACAGGUGGGACAUAGGAGGUCAGGGAACCUGCCUGAGUUUCACAGAAGGGAAAGAAGAAACCUGGGACUUACUGCAGGCUCUGAAUUCUGUCUUUCUCACCACACUGUCCCUGGGAACCCGGAAAAGUCAGCACCAAGCUCCUGGCCUGGGGGAGGCUCUGGAGCCCAGGCAGGAAACUCAUUAGUCUGUACCAGUAAGGAGAGGGGUGGAGCUGUGGACAGUACCCUGGCUGCUGUCUCUCAGCCCCUCUGUCUCCAGCAGCAAUUCUAGGAACCCUGUGAUUGAAGUCUGAGGAUAGAAGUCAGUAGUUACCUUGGUGAUCCUUAAUCUCUCUUGUGCUCCAGGUCUCGGUACCGGGGACACUGUAUCCUUAGAUGAUAAAAUGGAGUCAGUAUGGUGGUCUGGCCUGACUGUGUGUGUCCAGCCAUGUGUCAGGAUCCUGGCUCCCAGUGUGACAGUGUCGGGAGGUGGGGUCUUGAGGGUGAAGGCCGCAGGAUGAGAUGAGUUCUCUUAUAAAAGGGACCCCAUAAAUUUGCCAUGCCCUUCGGAUACGUGAGGACAAAGCAAGAGGCCACCGUCUAGGAACCAGAAAGGGGCUCCCAAAUCUUCCAGCUCCUUUGUCUUGGAGUUCCCACCCAUGAGAACUGUGAG